GAACAGUGGCCCUCGAGGACUGGAGUUUGAGACCCCUGCUCUACAACAUCCACCAGAGUUGCCUUUGGAUGAGCGAGUCAAAAUUGCAUAUUCUGGCAGUGUCUUAUGUAAUUAAUUAUGAUAGUUGCAAACCAUUGUUUACUCCAACAAUACACAAUAAAAUAGAUUUUCUUUUUACAGAACAGAUCUUCAGACUAUAUUAGCAAAACUAUACAGCAAGGUUGAUAUGACUUUCUGUCCUACCAGCAACCAAAUAAAUGUGUGCAGAGACAGGAUUUUAGAAUGUACAGGAUUUUAGAAUGUAGCCUGUAUGCCUCCAGAAGACGCCAUUUUGAUCCAGCAGCAAAACUGGAUGUUAUUUUUGUGGAUGAAGAGGACAACGCUGAAGGGGCAGUUGAUGAAGGUGGUCCCACAUGAGAGCAUCUAAGACUGUUAAUGAGGGCCAUUCAUCAUUCUAAUGUCUUUGAGGGGCAUGGAAUGACCGCCAUCUUAGCUUUGGACACUAGUGGUCAGUAUUCUCCCCCCUCCCCCCCAAUUCUUAAGGAUGGAAAAUUGUCAAGUAACAUUUUUUUUCUUUAGCGCUGGAGUCAAAAAUGUACAACUGUAUUGGAAAAAUGAUAUCAGUCUGUUUGGUGCAUGGAGGCAUUGGACCACAUUUCUUCUCUCAAAGGCUGUAUGACCACAUUUGUGGCACAUUGCCUCACCCUACCCUGGUUGAGGAAGUUGUUAACCAUUCAUUCAGACAGCAGUUGAUCAAAGAUACAAACACAAUCGUGGAGGCAAACGAAGCCAUUAUGCAGCCAGCAGAUACCCUGAGCAUUGUUGGAGCAUUAAGGCAUGUAACUACUCUGGAAGAGAGGGACUCCCUUGUGCAAUCUGCUGCAGACUUCUCUGUAAAUGGCCGAGUGUGCACUGCAUUGCAACAAAGGAGAAUGCAGUCCCAUUACCUUUGAAAUGAUACUGGAGUUCGCUUCAGGAGCAUCCACGGUACCUCCACUGGGCUUUCCCCAUUGUCCACAAAUUGAAUUCCUCCAUGAGGCUAACAAAGUCUUCCCAGAAGCAAAUACUUGCCUAUAUUACUCCGACUUCCUGUACACCCAGAUUACAUGACAGACGGGGGCCUACCUUUGGUGUUGCAUAAGUGUAGUAAGCAGUUCUUUUUAAAAGGAGUUGGAAUGCUUUGAAAAGUUAAGUGUUUUAAAGCAAGUUAUAGUAAAGGUAAUGUAAUGGCCAAACUUGGAAAAUAUUCAAAUGAAAAUACAAUAUCUGCUUUUU